rnacentral:rRNA from 1 species
UACGGGGGGGGCAAGCGUUGUUCGGAAUUACUGGGCGUAAAGGGCUCGUAGGCGGCCAACUAAGUCCGACGUGAAAUCCCCAGGCUUAACCUGGGAACUGCGUCGGAUACUGGAUGGCUUGAAUUCGGGAGAGGGAUGCAGAAUUCCAGGUGUAGCGGUGAAAUGCGUAGAUAUCUGGAGGAAUACCGGUGGCGAAGGCGGCAUCCUGGACCGAGAUUGACGCUGAUGAGCGAAAGCUAGGGGAGCAAACGGG